rnacentral:rRNA from 1 species
UGGUGGAGUGAUUUGUCUGGUUAAUUCCGUUAACGAACGAGACCUCGACCUACUAAAUAGGUUGCGUGAAGUCUUUGAUUUCCGUCAACACUUCUUAGAGGGACUAUCGGUGUGUAGCCGAUGGAAGUUCGAGGCAAUAACA